rnacentral:lncRNA from 1 species
UGAAAUGUAUUUUAUAGGAGAAUGAUGAAUGUUUAAUGAGAGCGAGACCUAAGUCUCAGGAUCAAUCAUUCGGGGUUCCACCAGAAUGCUAGAUUCCAACGAUCCUUUUUCAUUCAAGUUUAUUUUAAAAAUUGUUUGAUAGACAACUGGCGCUUAAUAAGAAUCAAUCAUUCAAAGAGCUACGCCCGAAUGCUUGAUCCCAACGACCCUUAUUUUGUUUAAUUUGAUUUAAGUGUUUUAAGAACGAAAGAAGAGAAUGAACGGUUAACCCAAAAU